UGCAAUGGUGGUAAAAUGAAGAUACUGACAUAACUAAUUCACAGAGUAGGCAACUUCAGGGCGAGUGAGGGUGCAAUAUUGGAGAGCCCCCAUAAUUUAAUGAUACUCAAUUAUGUUUUCAAGAGGAUCCCCUGAGGUUGAAGAAAGUUUGCCACUUGCAACACUUAAGCAGUGUAAGGCUUGAAUUUAAAUAUUUUAGCAUGAAGUAGUACAUCAAAGAUGCACUUGCUUUGUCGAAGAUGGAGACCAUGUGAGUCCCGAAACACUUGGAUGCCGAAAAAAGUUUUUUAGAAGACUCGAAUCCUUUAAUGCAAACUUUAUGUGAAGUUUAUCGAUUAAAUAGAAAAUAAGAAAUCACCAUUAAUAUAUCAUCAACAUAAACAUAAACUAAGAAUAAAUGAGAGCACUACUAUGUUGAUAAGUAAAAAGUAAAUGAUCCACUUGAGAUCCAAUAAGGCCAAGCUCCAUAAAAAACUGAGAUAUGCGUUUUAACCAAGCUCGAGGAGCUUGUUUGAGUCUAUAAAAAGCCUUGUUGAGUUUACACAUAUAAUCAGGAAAAUCAGGAUCAACAUAGCCACAGGUUUGUUAAUCUUUUGAAUUAUUGUUAUGUAGUCUCAUGUGAUCCUUGACUCACAAAGUUAGGUAGUAGAAGUAUCGCAUUUGUCGAGCUCUCCCAUUGAAACACACACGCACACCUCCAUCCAUAUUUGAACUGAUGCACCAAAACCUUUUUUGUACUUCUGUUCUAGAAUAGCUCUAUAUGGAUGUAUCUUGAAUCCGUCUGUACAAUUUAAUUGCAAGGAUAUGUUAGGAACUUUAUCAUUCAAGAUCUUUAUGACAAAGGAAAGACAGAUAUUAUUCAUUGUCAUGACAUCAAUAGAUUUUCAACUGAUGAGAAGUUUCUGUAGUCUGGUUUUUCCUAUUCCAAAGCCUGAGUGUGCAUUUGGGUGACUUUACGAGAAUUAGGUGCAAAGAUCCUGUCAGUUAGCUGCGUAAUCUGAAACUUAUGAUAUUUCUCCAUAUGCUGCCUGCUAUCAUCAUAACCUUUUGCACGUUUCUGAAAAAGUGGCAUUUUGUAGAUUCCUGGAUCCAUGAGCCCAUAUGGAAGCGUAUUUCAUGCACUUCAAGAAAUAGGCAAGAAUGAAGGUUUGAAGGGCCUCUAUAGGUGAUUAACUCCAAGAUUGGUUAUGUGCAUAUCUCAAGUUGCUGGAGAACAUUCACCAGCUUAUAUUCUAUCGCAUUCAUGGUGUUUGUAUGGUCAACCAAUUAAUAAAAUGUCCACGUUUUCCUUUU